rnacentral:lncRNA from 1 species
UCAUCUCAUAAGAAGACCAAAUAGAAAGUUCUGUUGUGAAUUGGUUCAAACACUUAGACUGCUUUUCUACUUCUAGAAAGAAGGCAGAAUCUAGGAUUUCUGCUCAGGGUGCACAUUACUGCAGAGGCGAGUGGCACUCCAGGAGCAUUUUGAUGACUUAUUUUUAUGUGUGAGCGAGUUGAUUGAAAAUCCUCCUAGCUCCCACUUUACCUGGCCAUUUGGUGCUUGACUUUUGUCUUUGAGUGGAGCAGAACUACUGAUGAUAAUGGCAGCAGUGACUUCAGUUAAAGAAUCCCAGGGACCACCUGAGACUUUCUGCAGCUCCGUGAUUUCAGCUUUAUGACCCUUAAUUGACAUUUCAAAAAGGCUUUCCUUACCAUGUGCUGAUUGAAAAAUAAAUAGUUUAGCAAAGAGAGGUCCUUCUUUCCAUGAAUUUGUCCCCACUGGCCACUUAAAUAGUGUGUGUUUAGGUGAAGUACCCUUUACUUCUGUGGGAGGAAACAAAGACUUUUUAAAACCACAUUAUUGCUGCAGCCCCAGAAGCUGAGAAGAAAGAGAACAGAUGGGUGGCUCUUCUCAAAGAAUGGUGCCUUCAUCUGGAUUUCCUCUUCUUAAACAUUUAUCUUCUUGUUCCUUGAAGGCUUUUAGGAAUUAUUAAUUCCACAGUGGCUGCAUGGUAACUGUUGAUUAGUGGUGGCUUAUUUUGGGUAAGUGGAUUUGGUUGUUCUUCUCUAAGCGUGGACCACAAUUUUCAAUCAUUUAAAACUCCAAGUACUGAUUUUCCCUUUUUCUGGGUGGGUGAGAGGUAGUGGGAUAAGCGGCUUAAAGUUUAUUUUUGUGUUUCCUAGUAGAAUUUUUCUUCUGAAUUGUUCUUCUCUGCUCAUAUCUUACACUUUUUCCUGGUGAGUAGUUACAUGUGUAAUUAAGAAAAUUGUCAUGUAUAUCCACUGUGAGACAGAGCUACAAGGUACUUUCCCAAAGCCCAGGUAUAGUAGUAUCUAUUUCAUACACUACUAUAUUUCAGGAAUAAGUGACUCAUUAUUAGUUCAGCCCGAGGUAAACUCUUUCCAUUUUCUGUCUUAUACUUUUGCUAUAUAUAUUUUUGUAACCACAGAAGCAGGCCUGAGGCACAUUUUUGGUCACUUGUGAUCUUCUCUCCCUCCAACAGACUGCUGGAGGUCGAGGGCCCCAGGUAUAGUGGGUGCCCUUUUCUCUCAUUUGGUGGAACUGUGUAUGUUAAUAGGUGAAAUCAAUGCCUCAGUGAUAAUCAGCACAUUUUGUGCCUUCGGGGUGAUUCUGAAGCUGAAGUUCCUAGGUCCCUAGGGGGUUCUUGAAUGAGUUUCAGUAGGUUUGUAAACUCUCUGAAAUUGUGUGCAAAAUAUUGCAAAUGUUUUUUUUCACCAGAUUUUCAAAGAAGUCUCUGAUCUACCAAAGUGAGUGUGUCCAACAGAGGUACACAAAAGGAAGAUUCUAACCCCAAGAUGAUGUAGCUCUUGAAGAAAGCAGGAGAGACUUCUGGGACUUAUGAUGAUAAAGGUUGGAGUGCAGUGGCCCGAUCUCAACUC